AACGAACGCUGGCGGCAGGCUUAACACAUGCAAGUCGAGCGCCCCGCAAGGGGAGCGGCAGACGGGUGAGUAACGCGUGGGAAUCUACCCAUCACUACGGAACAACUCCGGGAAACUGGAGCUAAUACCGUAUACGUCCUUCGGGAGAAAGAUUUAUCGGUGAUGGAUGAGCCCGCGUUGGAUUAGCUAGUUGGUGGGGUAAAGGCCUACCAAGGCGACGAUCCAUAGCUGGUCUGAGAGGAUGAUCAGCCACACUGGGACUGAGACACGGCCCAGACUCCUACGGGAGGCAGCAGUGGGGAAUAUUGGACAAUGGGCGAAAGCCUGAUCCAGCCAUGCCGCGUGAGUGAUGAAGGCCCUAGGGUUGUAAGGCUCUUUCAACGGUGAAGAUAAUGACGGUAACCGUAGAAGAAGCCCCGGCUAACUUCGUGCCAGCCGCCGCAGUAAGAC
rnacentral:rRNA from 1 species